AUAUGCCCAUAUUGUUCAGUUCCCUUUGCAGCAGAUAAGAGAAGACAAUCAGCCACACAGCUCAAGUCAAUGGUCAAGGUCCAAAAACAAGAAAAGUUCCUGGGGGGAAAGAAAGAAGAGUAGCAUCUGCAAGCCAGCUGGAACAAGGAACAGUACAUGGAAUCCAAACUGACGUCUUCCCUGAUUAAUCAAGCACUGGAGAAAGAAAAACCUCACGAACACACCAACAGAUCCUCUGGUGUUCGGGCUG